GCUCAGAUACAGGUUUUGAAAGACAAACUGGAAGCUUAAAGGACCACUCGAGCCAAGGUAGAAAGGGAGAGAACUGACCUCACCGAGAGCUGGAAGACCUGAAUGAGGGGCUGGAGGAGACAGCAGAGGCCAGUUUGGCUCAACUGGAAAUAACUAAAGAACAAGAAACAAAAUUCCAGAAGCUCCGCUGAGACAUGGUAGAGUCCACACUGCACUUUGAGGCAACCUCUGCCUCUUUGAAGAGGCACAGAGACAGCCUGGCUGAGCUGGAGAGCCAGGUAGAAAAUCUACAACAGGUCGAGCAGACACUGGAAAAAGACAAGAGUGACCUGCAGCUCAAAGUGAAUGAUGUCCUGACCCAUGUUGAGCAGAUGACCAGAGCUAAGGGUGAUGCUGAGAACCUCUGUAGUCUGUAUGAGAGCACUUGAAUGAAGAAAAUGCAAAACUAGAUGAAGUGACUCAGUUGGCAAAUGAUCUGACAGCACAGAAAACAACGCUACGGAGUGAAAAUGUUACAGAGCGCCCUGGCCCAGGCCGUGAAGUCGGCCAAGCGUGACUGUGACCUGCUAUGAGAGCAGUACCAGGAAGAACAAGAGGCCAAGGCUGAGCUUCUCUGGGCCCUGUUCAAAGACAAUGCUGAAAUUGUUAAGCGGAGAACCAAGUAUGAAGACGACACCAUCCGGAGCACUGAGGACUUGGAGGAUGCCAAGAAGAAGCUGGCAAUUCGGUCGCAGGAGGCUGCCGAAGCCAUGGGGGUGGCCCAUGCCAGAAGGGCCUCCCUGGAGAGGGCCAGGCUCUGACCGCAGCUCGAGUUCGGGGACACCCUGUUGCAUCGUGGGAAGGCGCACCGUGCGGCCGCUGCGCUGGACCAGCGGCAACAGCACUUCGACCAGUGCCUGGAGGGCUGGAGGCGGGAGCACGAGUAGCCUCAGGCGAUGCCAGACGCCCCGCAGAGGAGGCCGGGGGCCCUCAGCGCCCGGCUCCUCAAGCUCAGGCACACCUACGAGGAGAGCGCCGCGAGUCAGCGGACCCUCCGGAGGGUGAACAAAAACCUGAAGGGUACGUUGCCCUGGGAACCGGAGCAGGGGCCCCGGGAGGGCCCUGCGCCAAGGGCAAGGCUGCCUCGAUGCGCAGAAGCCUCAGCAUCGUCCUGGCCUCGCUUGGGUCUUAACUUUUCCGUUUUGAAUACUAACUUUGGCUUUUGUCUCUUUUUUUAAACUACAGGUACUGUUUUCAUUAAAGGCGUUCUAAACACAAGAGUACUUUCCUAACUUUAGCCCCAGUUCCUGUCCGCAAAGGAAGCCUAUUAAGAAUUUCUUUAUAUCCAUAACCUGCAUAAUAUGCGUACAGGUAUUUUUUACUUAAAUUACACGUUAUUCUAUACCUUUUAUUUUUUCCAUUUAUUAACUUAUUUUCUAAUUUAACAAAUAUCUCUAUAGCCCAUACUACGUGCCAGGCACUGUUCUAUAUAUAACUAUUCAUUGUUUAAGUCUCAGAACAGCCUUAUGUGUUAGUUUAUCUGUAAAAUGCAGAUUAGAUUGAGUCAUUUCAGGUUAAGAACUUGGCCAAAUUCGCAUUUGAUAAGUAGCAGAUCUGAGGUUUGAGCCCAGCCAGCUUGAUUCCGGCAUAUACACACUUAACUAUGGGCUCUGCCACCUCCCAUGUGCCUGUAGCUGGAGCCCUACCAAGUGACUGUUAUUAGCGACACAGUGUUUUAUGAUAAGGCUGACUAACACGUUUAACUAGACCUUAUUAAUUUUAGAUAAAAUUUUUCACAAUUAUAAAUAAUCCUAUAUUGUACAUCCGUGUACAAUGGGGGCGUGUACAAAUAUUUCAGUAGGGUAGAUUCCUAGAAAUGAAAUUGCAGAAUUAAAGGAGUUUUCAAUUUCUGAGAUAUUGCCCAGCAGCCCUUCAAAGAGGCUGCCAACUUAUACCAGCACCAACAGUGAUGUGCAUUCCAACCCUGAGAUGCCCUGGGAGUAAGUUCAUUACUAUUGGAGGCAUAAAUGAAACUUGCUUUCUCUGUUGACCUACCUAGUCCAUGAGCAGGUCACUGACUGGGCCUGUGAGAGGUGCUGGAACAGUUAGAAAACUUUCAUGGCAUCUGAACCACCUGGAGGGCUUGUUAAAACACGGUUGGCUGGGCCCCACCAUCAAGAGUUUCUGAUCCAGUAAGUCUAGGAGGGGGUCUAAGAGUUUGUAUUUCUAAGAAGUCCCCAAGCGAAGCUGGUGCUGUUCGUGUGGGGACCAUACUUGCUCUGGGCUGGAGCCUGGGAAGAAGUCUUUUUCAAAAGCUCUCUGAGUGAUUCUAAGGUAUGGUCAGAAUAGAGAACCACUGCCUUGAGUUUGCUCCUGGGAGCCCCUCUUGUGGAGAGGCUUUAUCAGAGAAGGAUUUAUUAUUCACAUGAGAAUUGCCAUCUCAUGGGUUUGUUUUUGUAACUAAAAAAUUCUUGUCACAGCCUAUCCUAGCUGGGGAUCUCAGAGCCAGAGGAGUGGUCAAGCUCCUGAAUUCCUUCCACUGCCUCUGGACUGUGGGUAUUCCCAGAGCACUUGGCCCUGCUCCACACACCUCUUAGGCUGCAGAGGCUUCCUUCAUGAACAGGCGGAACUGACGGUAACAGUGUCAGGUGCUGGAGGUUUUGUCACUUCUGGCUGCCUUGCUCUUUCAGAGACGUGUGUUCAUCAGAGAGUUCACGCAUUGGCUUCUGGCAGACAGUGACCCAGCUUAUGCUGUAAGUUCCCAUUCUGGUGUUGAGCGACAGCUGACACAGUGGCCGCCACCAGUGUUGAUAGCUAAGCUCUUCCACUGGAAUAGUGAUUCCAGGGCUGGGCCCUAGAGCCCCACCGGGCAAUAUCUGACAUGGCUCUGACAAGCAGGACCGCCAUGUACAGUCGCACAGGUUGUUCAAUGCACAAUACUCUAAGAAACACCAUCCUUACCAGCUGUUGUAGGCAACUUUGUGGCAGAUGCCAAAAGAAUGCUUUGAAGAGGGGAUUCUUUUUUCUAAUUCAAACAAACGUCCCAUAUGUGCCAGCGGUGGCCUUGCCAUCAAGUUACCAAGGAUGGCAUGACCAGGGUCCCAGUGGGCCUCUGGGAACAGUCUCUUUUGGCUGAUAUCAUGGAUCUGAGACUGGUUCUUUUCACUAACUUUGUUUUUCAUCCCUCUCCAGAAGAGAUUUCUAAUCUGAAAAAUCAGUUGAAAGUAGGAAAGAAGAACUUAAGUGAAAUGGAAAAGGUCAAGAAGUAGAUUGAACAAGAAAAGACUGAAGUCCAAAUGGCAUCGGAAGAGGCCGAGGUAUUACCUCCAGGGAACAAAGCAAGCUUCCAUCACUGUGACAGUGCAGAAGACCUGCAUUCUAGUCACAACAACAGCAAGAACACGCUUAUAACCCUUGACCCUUAUUCAGGGGUUAACUGCCUGCUAGGCACUAUGCCGGGCUCUUUGUAUGCACUAUUUUAUGUAAUCACCCUAGCAAACUAUUGUCCUCAUUGUACAAAUGAGGAAAUCGAGGCUAGGGGAACAGGAUAAACAAUCGUGGAUGCAACUCUCUUGAUUAUAAAGAAAACAAGAACCAUGUCUAUCUUGUUCCCUAAUUUAUCCCCUGUACCUAGACCUUCACUACCCUAAACGUGGCCUGUGGACUGGUUGCAUGGGCAUCACCGGGGAGCUUGUUAGAAAUUCAGAUUCUCAGCCUCUCUCCAGCUCUGUUGGAUCAGAAUUUGAAUUUUAACAAGAUCCCUGGGUGGUUCAUAUUUACCCUAACAUUUGAGAAGCACUGGACUAGAACAUUGCCUGGCAUACAGUAG
rnacentral:lncRNA from 1 species